rnacentral:lncRNA from 1 species
AAAUCCUGGUUGGAACCCAUUUACCACCACAACUCUGAUUUAUUGUUAGAUUUAGAUUUAUUAGAAAUAUAUUGACAUAUCGAUAUAUACAUAUAUUCUAGUACUGAAUGGGACGCUUUGAUUAUUUCAUUACAGAAUAGCAGUUUACCAACAAUCUGCCUGUUUCAUGUUCUUACCCAUCCUUGCUUUGAAUCCGGAACAGUAGCCCACCUGGAAACUUCCUGUGCCAGACCUUGCAUAUGACUCAAAUUCAAGAGCUCUAAUUGUGAAUAUGUCUAGAGGCUGCAUAAACUCACCAGACAAUUCACCCCUUCAGAUACCUGGAGUAAUAUUAAUCUUUUCUUGAAGAGCUGCCAUUUAGCUUAUUUUGGUUGCAAACUGGGAGACCAGGACAAUCCAUCUGCACCUCACAAAGCUUGCAAGAGUUUCAUUAGUAAGCUCAAAAUGUGGUCAGUUGGAAAACUGAAAUGUAUACCCUUUGGAGUACCAAUAGUAUGGUAAGAGCAGAUGAACCACCGUGACUGCUACUUUUGUAUGACUAAAGUAGCUGCAUUCAACAAGAAGACCAAGGGUUGCAAUAAGGCCUGCCCAACACUCAGAUGAUAUUCCUGUAUCUAUGCCACCUGAGACAUUGGAGAUUUCAUCAGAGUCUGAUACUAGUAAUACUAAUGUGAUGGAAGUAGACUAUGAACCACCAAGAAAUGACAAUCUCAAACUCUUCAACCAAGUUGAGCUCAAUGACUUAGUGAGAGACAGCCUUCCAAAUGAAAGUGCACAGUUACUUGGCUCUAGACUGAAGGAAGACAAGCUUCUAGCUUGUGGAACAUCAUUUACUUGGUACCAUCAUUGUGAAGCAGAAUUCACUCAGUUCUUUGAGAAAUUGGAUUCUUUAUUUUUCUGUUCAACUAUUUCUGGCCUUAUUGAACACAUUGGGAUGUCAUACAAAGCAGAUGAAUGAAGGCUCUUCUUUGGUUCUAACAGAAGUUUAAAGGUGGUCUUCUCUACAAUGGCAACACAGCUGCAACUGGAUCAAUUGGCCAUAGUGUACAAAUGUUGGAAGCCUAUGAAAAUAUGAAGGCACUAAUAACUGCCAUCAAGUACCAUAAUCACAAUUUUCUCAUUUUUGGUGAUUUAAAAGUCAUUGCUUCAAGGGGGAUACACCAAGUAUUCUUGAUUCCUUUGUCUUUGUGGUAGUAGGGAAGACAGUCAGCACUAUAAACUGGCCACCAAGGACCAGCUUCUUACCUGGAAAUCACAACAUGAUAGCUGUACAACUAGUUGACUCCAUGAAAAUUCUGCUGCCACCACUCCACAUCAAAUUAGGACUUAUGAAAAAUUUUGUAAAGCCCUCAACAAGAAUGGAGCUGCUUUCAAGUACCUGGAUUCAAAGUUUCCUCAUAUAAGUGAAGGCAAGUAUUUUGAGGAAGCACUAGCAGAUGUCAAGGUGAAUGCCUGAUUUUUCAAGCAGAUUGUUUAAAACUUCUUGGAAAACAGCUGCUCCCCAAAAUAUGAAAAAUGAUUCAAGACCUGAUUUGAAGUUUCCAACAACUUGGGGCUAGAAUGAGUGUCAAUUUGCACUUUUUGCACAUAUCUUAAAUAUUUUCUCAAGAAUUGUGGUGACUACAGUGAGGAACGAGGAGAGUGGAAGCCUGAUACCAGGGCAAAUUGAAUGUCAGUAUGAUGGCAAAUUAUUGCUGCUCAUUGAUGUGCAUCCGGAUGCACAGCACAUGCAGAAUUCAAAGAUAUUGGAUCAAUAUGUAGGCUAACCAUUCGGAG